rnacentral:misc_RNA from 1 species
GAUGAAGAACGCAGCGAAAUGCGAUAAGUAAUGUGAAUUGCAGAAUUCAGUGAAUCAUCGAAUCUUUGAACGCAUCUUGCGCUCCUUGGUAUUCCUUGGAGCAUGCCUGUUUGAGUAUCAUGAGCAAAUCUCAAAGUCAAUUCCUUUUGUUAAUUCAAUUUGGUUUUGCUUUGGACUUGGAGGUCUUGCAGAUUUCACAGUCUGCUCCUCUUAAAUGCAUUAGCUGGAUCUCAGUAAUUAUGCUUGGUUCCACUCGGCGUGAUAAGUAUCACUCGCUGAGGACACUGUUAAAAAGGUGGCCAGGAAAAUACUGAUUGAACCGCUUCUAACGGUCUAUUAAGUUAGACAAUUACCCUUAAGUUUGAUCUCAAAUCAGGUGGGACUACCCGCUGAACUUAAGCAUAUCAAUAAGCGGAGGA